AUCUCUGAGUUCAGUCGCUCUAAUCACUUUUAUCCAUUCUCCAGUGAGGAAGGAACCAAAAAAAAUAAAAUCUUAAGACUUUGGCCAAAGAAAAAGAAAAAAAUGUCACUCUUCUUCCUCAAUCCUCCAUUUCCCUCCAACUCAAUCCACCCAAUUCCUCAUCGCGCCGCCGGUUUGUCUUCCAUUGGUUGCUCGAUUUCUCGGAAGCGGUGAAGCUGUCUCGGCCCUGGAGAGGAGUCUCCGCCUCACUUUUAUGGAAAGACCUAGAAAUCGAGACACUUCCGAGGUUAUCUAUGACCUGAUUGCCGCUGGGCUUAGCCCUGGACCUCGUUCUUUCCAUGGCUUAGUCGUUGCUCACGCGCUUAACGGCGACGAACAAGGCGCGAUGCACUCGCUUAGAAAGGAGUUAGGUGCAGGCCAAGGCCAACGUCCGCUUCCUGAAACAGUGAUUGCUUUGGUUCCACUCUCAGGUUGAAACGCUACGAGAGGCUUGGAAAUCCUUGCCGCUAUGGAGCAGCUUAACUAUGACAUUCGUCAAGCUUGGCUCGUUCUUGUUAAUUGAGGAGCUCAUGAGAACCAAUCACUUGGAAGAUGCAAAUAAAGUUUUCUUGAAGGGUGCUAGAGGUGGGAUGAGAGCAACAGAUCAGCUUUUUGAUCUGAUGAUUGAAGAAGACUGCAAAGCUGUAGAUCAUCCUAUAAUACCUUAGACAUCUCUUACGAAACGGAGGCAGCUGGUAGAAUGGCGACAACAUUUCAUUUCAACUGUCUUCUUCUUAGUUUGCAGGCUACAUGUGGGAUUCCCGAGGUUGCUUGCUUAUGCGACAUUUGAAAAUAUGGAGUAUGGCCAAGCUUGAUUUGAUAGAUUUUAUGAAGCCCAACACUGAGACAUAUAACUGGGGCCGAGUCAUAUGAGGUUUAGUUGCCUUGAAGAUUGGAAAAUUCACCAUAGGGAAGCUCUUGAGAACCUUACAGAGUGAAGGUCUUCCAGUUUUAGGAGAUGCAUCAGAAUCUGAUUACAUGAGAGUGAUGGAGAGCUUUACGAAACAUAAUAAGAGGUCCUGCACAUAAUCUUUUUUGAAGCCAAAAGCAGCAAACAAGAUGGCUGUAUCAGAGUUAAAGGAAGAACUUGAAGCUCAGGGUUUGCCAAUUGAUGGAACCCGGAAUGCUCUUUACCAGCGAGUCCAAAAAGCAAGGAGAAUAAACAAAUUGAUGGAACAAGGAAACGUCCGUUUCUUGGAGAAGGCUUGAUUGAAACUUCAGUUGAAUCCAACGAAACAGUAGCUACAGUUGAGAGUCGGAGAACAAAAUUAAAGAUGUUGCAAAAGAAGCUGAUGAUGAUCAAAAGGGGAGGAUUUAGUUAAGAAUAAGACAGCUGAAGCUAAGAAGAAGCAUCUUCAAAUGAUUGGAGUCCAACUCUUAAAAGAAUCUGAUGAAGCAAACAGAACAAAGAAACGCGGGAAGAGGGCAUCUCUUAUGACACUUGAGGAUGAUGCAGAUGAGGAUUGGUGUCCCUGAGGACACAUUCGAAGCAUUCAAAGAAAUGAGGGAAAGGGAAAGUACUUGGAAAAGGAAACGAUUUGCUUCGUGAUUUUUUAUCGACUUGAUGAAGAAGAUACUGAUGAUAAGAAGAAGAAGGAGAAGGAGAAGGAUGAGGGUAAUAAUGAGGACUGAGGAGGAAUCUGGGGAUGACAGUGAGAAAGAGAUGACUGAUCUGAAAUCUGAGGCGGAAUCAGAGGAAGAGAGUGAUACUGGACAAGAAGCUAAAGCUUGCUUCUUUGGAGGAAGAGUCUAAUGAUGAAGCUGACUCCGAUGAGCUGAGU